UACAGAGGUCUCAAGCGUUGUUCGGAUUCAUUGGGCGUAAAGGGGGCGUAGGCGGCGCGGUAAGUCGGGUGUGAAAUCUCGGAGCUUAACUCCGAAACUGCAUUCGAUACUGCCGUGCUUGAGGACUGGAGAGGAGACUGGAAUUUACGGUGUAGCGGUGAAAUGCGUAGAUAUCGAGAGGAACACCUGCGGCGAAGGCGGGUAGCUGGGCCGACACUGACGCUGAGGCGCGAAAGCCAGGGGAGCGAACGGG
rnacentral:rRNA from 1 species